rnacentral:rRNA from 1 species
AGUGAACGCUGGCGGUAGGCCUAACACAUGCAAGUCGAACGGCAGCACAGGAGAGCUUGCUCUCUGGGUGGCGAGUGGCGGACGGGUGAGGAAUACAUCGGAAUCUACUUUUUCGUGGGGGAGAACGUAGGGAAACUUACGCUAAUACCGCAUACGACCUACGGGUGAAAGCAGGGGACCUUCGGGCCUUGCGCGAUUGAAUGAGCCGAUGUCGGAUUAGCUAGUUUGCGGGGUAAAGGCCCACCAAGGCGACGAUCCGUAGCUGGUCUGAGAGGAUGAUCAGCCACACUGGAACUGAGACACGGUCCAGACUCCUACGGGAGGCAGCAGUGGGGAAUAUUGGACAAUGGGCGCAAGCCUGAUCCAGCCAUACCGCGUGGGUGAAGAAGGCCUUCGGGUUGUAAAGCCCUUUUGUUGGGAAAGAAAUCCAGCUGGCUAAUACCCGGUUGGGAUGACGGUACCCAAAGAAUAAGCACCGGCUAACUUCGUGCCAGCAGCCGCCGUAA